rnacentral:rRNA from 1 species
UACAGAGGUCUCAAGCGUUGUUCGGAUUCAUUGGGCGUAAAGGGUGCGUAGGUGGCGCGCUAAGUCAGGUGUGAAAUCUCGGGGCUUAACUCCGAAACUGCAUUUGAUACUGGCGUGCUUGAGGACUGGAGAGGAGACUGGAAUUUACGGUGUAGCAGUGAAAUGCGUAGAGAUCGUAAGGAAGACCAGUGGCGAAGGCGACAUCCUGGACCGGCAUUGACGCUGAGGCGCGAAAGCCAGGGGAGCAAACGGG